rnacentral:rRNA from 1 species
UACGAAGGGGGCUAGCGUUGUUCGGAUUUACUGGGCGUAAAGCGCACGUAGGCGGAUCGAUCAGUCAGGGGUGAAAGUCCCAGAGCUCAACUCUGGAACUGCCUUUGAUACUGUCGAUCUGGAGUAUGGAAGAGGUGAGUGGAAUUCCGAGUGUAGAGGUGAAAUUCGUAGAUAUUGGGAAGAACACCGGUGGCGAAGGCGGCUCUCUGGGACCGAUACUGACGCUGAGGCGCGAAAGCGUGGGGAGCAAACAGG